rnacentral:rRNA from 1 species
UACGGAGGGGUCCGAGCGUUAAUCGGAAUUACUGGGCGUAAAAGCGUGCGCAGGCGGUUUUGUUAAGCGAGAUGUGAAAGCCCUGGGCUCAACCUAGGAAUAGCAUUUUCGAACUGGCGAACUAGAGUCUUGUAGAGGGGGGUAGAAUUCCAGGUGUAGCGGUGAAAUGCGUAGAGAUCUGGAGGAAUACCGGUGGCGAAGGCGGCCCCCUGGACAAAGACUGACGCUCAUGCACGAAAGCGUGGGGAGCAAACAGG